GAUUAGAGUGAUGUAUUAACUAUUAAGGAGGAACACGUGAGAGAUAUUUUUUCCGUAACCCCUUCACUCUCUUAAUUUCCAACAAGUAUGCAAAUUUGAACCCUAACCGUAUCUCAUGAAACCUCCUCCAAUGAUUCGUUCGAUUCUCUAACCCUAGAAGAUUCCAUUUCUUCACUUCCAAUUCUUCGCCAUGGCUUCUGCUCAAGAUUCUGGAGCCUCGCCGUCGUUAGAAGUCGCCGAUUUGAACGACUCCAUAAGCCGCCUGAAAUUGAACCACUCUUCCGACGAACACGCCGACGAUGCUCCUCCGUCGUCCAUUGACGGUAACAUCAACAUCUCCGAUGACGUUAUCAAUCAAGUUGACCAGUUCCUUCUUGACGCGGUUCAGAACCCUCGCGAACGCCUUUCCAUUCUGCGGAUGGAGCAGGAUGUUGUGAAGUUCAUUCAUGAUCCUAAUCAACAGCAGCUUAAAUUUCAGAAACUACCAACUUCGUAUUUGCGGUUGGCAGCACAUCGGGUGGCUCAGCAUUACUCGUUGCAGUCAAUGGUUUUAGUGGAUGAUAGUUUACCAGAUGGUUCUGGGUCGAUUAUUAUUGUCCACAAGAGUUUUGGAUAUAAGCCUCCUCUCGUUCGUCUUGCAGACAUCCCUGUAAAGUUAGCGUCAGAAGACACUGCUCUCAAGCAGGUUGCGAUUAAACAGAGACCACAGAAGCAGUCUCUAGCUCUUAGUGAUACAGAUUCAAAUUCAGUUAAGAAUCGGAACUCUAAAAGUGUGGAAGAGAGGACAGAGGAGUAUAGUAGGGCUCGGGCUAGGAUCUUUAGUUCAAGUGAUAAUGGUAGUACUAUGGAUGGGAAGCCAGAACCAGGUUGCGAGUCAAGGAAGCAGGAUAACUCUUUACUUGGUUCUUUGGAUUUUUCUCAGGUUGAAGAUAAACCGGCUUCUGUGCCGGAUGUCAGUUCCAGUAGGGUGUUGAUUGAGUCUUCCACAACUAACAUUAAGGCUAGAAAUAGGGAAGAGAAGGAAUCAGUUGGUAGGCCCAUGCAGAAUAGCAGGGUGGCGAUAUAUCGGGACCGUGAAGUUGACCGCAAGGAUCCUGAUUAUGACAGGAGCUAUGAAAGGUAUGUGCAACGAUUUGACCCUGGAUUUGGGUUCAAUGGAGGAUCAUAUACCAUGCAGCCGAUGUAUACAGCCGUAUCAAAUUACCGCACGGACUUUCCACAUCUUGGAUCCACUCAUGAACUGCAGCUUUUUACUGAACACCACCCACAACCUCUUUUCCAGCACAUACCUGGACCAUGGGCUCCACCAUUACCUGCUGGAAUAGGAUAUGGAUAUCCAGAGGUCAUGUUACCUUUUAAUCCUAGACAAGUCGGUACAUGCUCUGCACCGGCUUUGUAUUUGCAUUCAUCUCAGUAUUCUUGUCACUGUCAUGGAAUGCCUUUUAUUCCUCAUGAACCUCUUCAUCAACCAUUUCUACAGUCUCAUCAACCACCACCUGAUGCAAAUUAUGGACUGGUCUGGCCCUGGUAAAGGGUAUGGGCUGUGCCGGCAACUGAUCAGCCUGGGACAUAUGUUGUUAACUGAUGGGCUGCUGCAGCUUAAAAGAUUUCUGUUAGCUGAUUUCAGUGCAGGCAUAUGGGCCGAGUUUGACUGGAAUGGAUUUGUACAUUUCUGUAAGACCAUCAUUGAUGCUUUCCACCAUUCUUGGUCUUCAAAGAUGCUUAUUGCAUCUUCCAUGUCCCUUGCAGACAUUUGUGAUUUCAGUUAAGAGCUUCUAGAUUACGCACAUUGCUCCUGAUGAUUAUCAGGAGUCCCUUGAGGACUUAUCCAGAGCUGAAUAAGUUUGCUCUUGAUUUGAAUGAAGCUCCUUAAAGAGCUCAAGUUCUUACUCUGUAAUAGAGCUUGGCAAGUCUGCAUUCUCACUGCUGGAAUUUUGUUGCCGAGAUUUAGGUGGAAUUUCCCAAGCUGUUGUCAUGCGAUGCUUUACACUAUUCUGAUGAAUUAUGCUAAACAUGUAUACCACGACAUAUAUGUGUAUAACAUGUAUUCAUCUCAGCAAGUACUAUUUUUCUGCAUGGAUUUUCUUUCCAUUUAUCUAUUAGUUGGUUGAUUUAAACCAUUUAGUGUCUUAGAUAAAUUGCAAAAGACUUCAGUUGCCUGUUUAUUGUUCUUCUGGUUUCACUUGCCACUGCUGCCAAUCCUUGUCAUUUGUUACUUACAUAGGUUGGAUUUAGGAGUGUAACAGGUUGAUUCGAUUCGAUAUGGACCUUAUUUUUUUUCUUCAAUAAAAUGGGGUGAGUUCAAAAGAAAAGAAAAAGAACAAUCAAUAUUUAUACAAAGUUAAAUAUACAUUAAAAUGUAUCCUGAUUAUAUCAUUGACAAUAUCAAUCCAACAUUGCAUACAAAAAACGAAUCUUCACUUAAAUACAUUGUUAGAUAAAAACUAAAAGGCAUCAAAACAUGCGUCAAAACUUAAAUCUAUAUCUAUGGGUGAUUCUGCCUUUAACUUUUGUUUAUUUGAUUAUCUUUCAAUCUUGCUCAACUUGGUGAAUUCUUCCAUCAUAUCCAAAAUGUUAUCUAACCAAGUUUCAACUUCUUUUGUGGAAUGAGGUGUCCACUCUAGUGAUGUAUGUGGUAUAUGACAUCCCGGUUUGAAAUAAACACGAACAAAAUGCAAUGAUUUUGAAAGCCAUCCAAUACACGUAAUGCAUACCGUUGAAUUUUGAGGUGGACCACUCCAAAGUGAAAAAAAUGUUUCGGAGAUGUCAUAUCUUGUCAUACCAAUACACACCCUAUUAUAUGCAUAUUCUAUAAUAUGACCCAUUUUAGGGAAGCACGUCAAUUUUUUCUCUAAUGUCGGACUACUAAUGUAACGCCCAUACUGCUUUCAGAAUUAUUGACUGACCCUACAAACCAACACGAAUAUUUUUAGCAUGCUUUGUCCUCACUCACACGCUUUCUAGGACACUUCCUAGAAGGUCAUUCACCUAAAUACUACUCCAAAUCAAGCACCAUUAACUAUGGAGUUCUUAUUUGAUAGGCUACAAAAAAAUGCAUCUUGUUGGUAUAUGUAACACCAAUAAAUUCUUAUAAGUCUUCCUUCAACCAUGUAGUCUCAUACAUGCGCAACCUCACGAUCCAUCUCAUUCCGAUGUGAAUUUGACUUUUGCCUGGAAGCUGUCGGGAGCCACUCAUUGUCAUGCUUAUGCACCGACGACGACUCCUUGUCCUCGUUGAUCUUGAGUGUUACAUGUCCAUCAGCUUCCGCUUGGUUCGUCCCUAAACCACAUCGUAUUGGGAGAGGUCUGCUCUGAUACUAUUUGUAAUGCCCUGACUGCUUUUAAGAUUAUAGAUUGAUCCCACAAAUCAACACGAAUCUUAUCAGCAUGCUUUGUCCUCACUCACACGCUUUUUAGGAAACUUCCCAAAGUUCACCCAUCCAAAUACUACUCCAAGUUAAACAUGUUUAACUAUGAAAUUCUUAUUUGUUAGGCUACCAAAAAGAAGAUACAUCUUGUUGGUAUAUGUAGUAUCAAUAAAUUCUUAUAAGCCUUCCUUCAACCAUGUAGUCCCAUACCUGCACAGCCUCAGAAUUCCUCUCAUUCCGAUGUGAAUUCGAUUUUUGCCUAGAAGCUUCCAGGAGUAGCUCAUUGUCAUGCUUUAUGCAUCGGCAACCACUCUCCGUCUUCAUUGGUCUUGGGUGUUACAGCUAACAUAAGGAAUAAGAGAUUUAUGAAUUGCAUCGAAAUAUUCUUUUUUUUUCUUCUGGUAUAGCAUUAUGUAUGAUUCCUUACGUGCCUUAAACUCUUUGAGAAGUUGUUGGUGGACAAGUGUAUGAUUCUAAUAUCCUCUACAGAGCAAAGCUGAAACAACACAAUAACCAUAGUUAAUGUCAUCCUUGAUAUCUACAAUCCGUUCAAUGCAUUUGUGCAUAAAAAUUGAUAUCUCUUCAAUGUAUUUGAUUUUUGGUAAAGGUAUCGAAUGAGAUGAUUUGCUAAUGUGAGCACGUUUGAAAACACUUUUUGAUAUUUUGAAGAUGGAGAAACCGAGAAAUGUGUGUUAACAUGUUCAAAAUAAGAAGAAGAUUUCUUUGUUGAAUUGUCACUCUGUGUUGGUUUGACCUUCUUAGGAUCACCCUUUUUUAGCGUUUCAAAUAUGUAGUUUCUGGAGAGGCAAUCAUCCUCAGCUGCUUUUUGAAGUACAGUUUCAUGUUGUCACCAACUUUCAAAAAUAUCUCUUGAAUCACUUCCCAUUCGGUCAUGAUAGAUAUAUUCUAUUUACCAUUCUUCAUCACACCAUCCGUUUCAAAGUUGCAAGAUUGUUUUUGGAUUGCACCAUGUUCAAUGUCAUGUUAGAAACAAGAUCCUUCCCUUGAGGAUUAAGGCGACAUGCAAUGAGAUGAUCGACUAACUUAUAAAAUAAGUCAUGAUUAUGUAUACCACAAAUCACAUUAAAUGUCCAUGUAUUAUUCGUCAUACCACACAACUUAAAAGAACACACACAUUUCCUUGUUCCGCUGUCAUCCUAUUUCAACUUCCAGGUAAUUUUUGUGUACUUGUCACUUCUUUCGCAUCUCAAUGUCACAAAUUCCUGUAUUCUAUCAGAACCAUCAUUUGACCUUCCGAUUAUAGCGUAGAAUAAUUUGGCUACCCCUGUACGAAUCCAUUGGAGCAUAUGUUCACAAGUAACAAACUUCUAUUUAUGUGUAAAUUGUUUUCCAACAUUUACCUCGACAUCACCCAAUAUAACAUCCAUAAACACAUUAGCUUUCAAGACAUCCUCAGGGUGCACCACAUCUAAAGCCAAUCAUAACAAAAAUACAUUAAAAACUCAAAUUCAACAUUACAAUAAUCCCAAAAUACACUUAUGUAACCACAUUCAUUAGUAAUCCAGCAUUACACUUCCGGAUGCAACGUCCGUUUUACCCCAACAAAAACCAUAUUCUAGCAAGCAAUGAGGAAGGAAAUACAUGUACGUUACCUAUACAAAACUCGAUUGAAUAUGGAAAGAGAUUUUGAUAGGGUUUAAAGAAGAAUGGUGGUAUGCUCAUGAAUGAAGAAUACACGCAAGAUGGUGUUUUAUUCAAUUUUCCGCUUGACAAAUUCGGAAUUGCACUUCCAAAUUAUUCACUAACUUGUGAAAUAAACACAAUCAUUGUAUGGAUUAGUCCAAAUAUACAUUUUCGGAGUAUUUUUUGAUAAAAUGAAAGUGUGUCACUUGUGUUUUUGUGUGCAUUAGAGACAUUCGAAGGUGUACUUCUUAAAUGUUGGAAGGACAAUUUUGAGAUUCAUUAGGGUGACUCUCCAUCACUAAGGGUGGGAAAAGCAACCCCAAGGAUGGUCAUAUGCGGAUAAAAGAAAAUAGGUUGCCCCAUCAUAAAUGUUACACUGGGGCCAGAUAUACCAGACAUCACUGUUUUUCUGGAGGACUUUUCCCAUCCCCAAAAGAAAUUACCAAGUACGCAUCUUAAUAAAAAAUACACAGCGUAACCAAAUAAAACCAAAAUUCCAAUUGUUAUUAAUGUAUUAACAACAGAUGCCUUCUGAGCAAAUAGAAAGGGCCUGAACUCAGACAUAUAUAUGUAAAACAAAACUCUUGCAUAAUCAAACUAAAUGCUAGGCAAGAAAGUGGAUGUGCUAAGGUUUUAGAAGCACUUUGUUCCGGGAAUCAUCUAAUCUAAACCAAUUGCAAAACCAAUGUAUACAUCUGAUUCCAUUAUCAGCACUUCCUCAUCAAACACAACUAUGGCACCAUACAUAUUCUCAGCAACACAGCUCAGCUAUCCACAGUCAGCAUCUUGUCUACGCUGGAAAAGUUUUGAUAGAAAGCUUUGAAAUGCUUGUAUGCAAUGUCUAUAUCUUCCUUCCCACAUAUUUCUCUUAUACUGCAAACCAAGUACAAGCAGACUCAGACAUGCAGUAGAAAGUUUUGAUAUUAUAUACUCUUGGAGUGAGUCAGGGAUGAAUUGGAACUUGGAACAAUAAAGUAAUAACAUUUGCUUAUUUUCUAGAAUGUUCUUUCUUCUUCCAUUUUCUCAUGAGCUUAUAGCUUAUUUUAUUCUGUUACAUGUAUAAGUUAGUUUAACCGUUAAUUUUGUCAAACAAUACAAAUUCAAUUAGCUAGCUUAUUCUCUAUAAGCUAUCAACUAACUUAUAAGCUAUUAACUCAUCCACUAUAAGCUACCUUAUCACCUAUCCUCUAUAUUUUUUCCAAACAAAUUCUUAAUGUGCAAGAACCAACUGUUAGACAUGAUUAUAACUUAUACUUUUUAAGUAUCAAGGCUGGACAUAUGACAAGGUUUUGAUAUCAUAUAGGCCGUUGUUUUUUCCCCCUAAAACUAUUUGAUACCUGUGCAUUGAAAGUUGAGCAAUUCCACAGUCAACAGUUCGGAUGCCAACCCCAGAAGCGAGUAUUGGACCAAUGGUUGAUCCACAUCCCAUAUCAUUUCUAACGACAAAUUCCUACAGUGUGCAGAUAAAAUAUAAUAUUAAGACACGUCAAUUAACUGAUAUAACAAGCGUAAAUAACACUUUUACUUUCUCUUUCAUCUAUUGCAAGAGAUUAUUUUCAAAAGCUACCCACAGUAACUUCAAAAAAAAAAGUUGAAGACUUUUUGCUAAACAUUCCAUUUAAAUAAAUAAUUUGCAUUAAAAGGAAUAAGGUGUUUAAACAAAAAUGAAAUAAUAGAGAGGAAUUGCCUGAGUUGGAAGAUUAUGGAUUUUCCCAACUUCUUUGAAAAGAAAAGAUGUGAUUCCACUUGUAGCAUAGCGCUGGUUUGCAUUGUGCUUAAUAACAAGUCCUUUCUGCAAUUCCGGUCUGUGGUGUUCCUCGUGCUUAUCUGAAAAAUUUGGAUGAACUCCAUGGGCCAUAUCUGCAGACAC